GCCGCGAUAGCUCAGUCGGUAGAGCACUUCCAUGGUAAGGAAGGGGUCCCGGGUUCAAAUCCCGGUCGUGGCUCCA
rnacentral:tRNA from 1 species